UUAUCUAUACACACACAAACACACACACAUAUAUUCAGCUUUGAAUUUCUAUAUGCAGAAUAUCCUUCUUGCAGAUUAUCCAUGUGCUCUGUUAGGCCAUUCCCCUCCCCAUUAUUCAGCCAGUCCUUUGGUCUCCUUUUCCUGCACAGUGAGCUUUUCUAUAGUUUUCUUCACCUUCUGUCCCCCACUUUAUGCAAGUCUGUUGUUUGCUGUCCCUACUCCUCAUGUGUUCUUGGCCAGCUGUGGGUUUGGAAGUCUGUAGCUAGGAGGGGAGGGACUUUAGGAACUGAUGGCAGUGAAACCUGUAGAUGGUCUCCUCUGGUGUUGCCAAAGAGGGCGGUAGUAGCCUGUUUUUCUAGUUGAAGUCUGAUACCAGCUCACUGUGGUUUAAUGCAAGAACACCAUUCGUAGCACAAAACUGCUUCAGUUUUGGUAUUGGGGUAUAAAAAUAUAAAAUGCGGGAAUGUCUUUGAGAAAUAGAGGGUCUUCCCUCUUUUUUCCGUUGCAGAAUAUCACUAUUCUUUUCAAACAUAUACAUAGAAAUGGGAUCAAAAUUAAGAAAACACUUAUGUGAUUGAGCCAUUGCAUAAAAUUACUAUUAAAGCCUCAUCUUGAUUUUAUAGGAAUUGGCUAUUCAUCAUGGCUGGAGACUUCCUGAAUAUACCCUUUCCCAGGAGGGAGGACCUGCUCAUAAGAGAGAAUAUACUACAAUUUGCAGGCUAGAGUCAUUUAUGGAAACUGGAAAGGGGGCAUCAAAAAAGCAAGCCAAAAGGAAUGCUGCUGAGAAAUUUCUUGCCAAAUUUAGUAAUAUUUCUCCAGAGAACCACAUUUCUUUAACAAAUGUAGUAGGACAUUCUUUAGGAUGUACUUGGCAUUCCUUGAGGAAUUCUCCUGGUGAAAAGAUCAACUUACUGAAAAGAAGCCUCCUUAGUAUUCCAAAUACAGAUUACAUCCAGCUGCUUAGUGAAAUUGCCAAGGAACAAGGUUUUAAUAUAACAUAUUUGGAUAUAGAUGAACUGAGCGCCAAUGGACAAUAUCAAUGUCUUGCUGAACUGUCCACCAGCCCCAUCACAGUCUGUCAUGGCUCCGGUAUCUCCUGUGGCAAUGCACAAAGUGAUGCAGCUCACAAUGCUUUGCAGUAUUUAAAGAUAAUAGCAGAAAGAAAGUAAAUUUGGAGCAACUUAAAAAAUCUUUCAGUAGCACAUAAAAAGUUCCCCUCUGGCCCCUUCCCAAGUAAAACUUUUACCAUAGUGUUUAUGUCUUGUUUCUAAAUCUCUUCAUAGAUUGCAUCAACACUCCAGAUUUAAUUAUCUCCUCAUAGUUGUUAUUAAGCUCUUUUUAAUGGCUUCAACUUUGUAUCAGUAUAUUGUAUUUAUAAACUUUGUACCAUGAGAGAGUGUAGCACCCAUUUUACUGUGCCAUGCACAUCAGAGAAAGAAACUGCAUGUUUGUUGUUGAUGAUGAAAUAAAAAUGCUAGCAACAGUCUUUCUUACUGGUGCUUAAGCUCUUCUUUGCACAAAGCUUUAUAAAGGGAAUUCAAAGGAAGCCCUUUAGAAUUAGAGUCUUGAGGGACAGCACUAACAGGCCUUUAUUAAGUAUGAUUGUUAAAUUUCAGGGAACAUGAUUGGUUUGCUGUGUAUUUGAAUUCAUGUAACAAAGAACUGUUACGAUGGGAUUCUGCUCAUUUUAUUAAAAAGCUACUGACUUGACUGUCGUCCUGUUCUUGUUAGCCAUUGUUGUGAAUAAGAUUUUAAUGUUGAUAAUUCUGUUAUUUACAUAUCUCUAAUUUACUUUGAAAUUCAAAGGUGAAAAUAAAAAACGAUGGCCUAAGUAAAAUUUACAAACAU
rnacentral:sRNA from 1 species